GCAUAACGCGAAGAACCUUACCUGGGUUUGACAUGCACAGGACGCACCUAGAGAUAGGUGUUCCCUUGUGGCCUGUGUGCAGGUGGUGCAUGGUUGUCGUCAGCUCGUGUCGUGAGAUGUUGGGUUAAGUCCCGCAACGAGCGCAACCCUUGUCCUAUGUUGCCAGCGGGUGAUGCCGGGGACUCGUAGGAGACUGCCGGGGUCGAACUCGGAGGAAGGUGGGGAUGACGUCAAGUCAUCAUGCCCCUUAUGUCCAGGGCUCCACACAUGCUACAAUGGCCGGUACAAAGGGCUGCGAUGCCGUGAGGUGGAGCGAAUCCUUGGUAAAGCCGGUCUCAGUUCGGAUCGGGGUCUGGCAACUCGACCCCGUGAACGUCGGAGUCGCUAGUAAUCGCAGAUCAGCAACGCUGCGGUGAAUACGUUCCCGGGUCUUGUACACACCG
rnacentral:rRNA from 1 species